GACGAACGCUGGCGGCGUGCUUAACACAUGCAAGUCGAACGGAAAGGCCAUGCCUUUGUGGGGUACUCGAGUGGCGAACGGGUGAGUAACACGUGAGUAACCUGCCCUUGACUUUGGGAUAACUUUAGGAAACUGGGGCUAAUACCGGAUAGGAGCUCCUGCUGCAUGGUGGGGGUUGGAAAGUUUCGGCGGUUGGGGAUGGACUCGCGGCUUAUCAGCUUGUUGGUGGGGUAGUGGCAUACCAAGGCGUUGACGGGUAGCCGGCCUGAGAGGGUGACCGGCCACAUUGGGACUGAGAUACGGCCCAGACUCCUACGGGAGGCAGCAGUGGGGAAUAUUGCACAAUGGGCGGAAGCCUGAUGCAGCAACGCCGCGUGCGGGAUGACGGCCUUCGGGUUGUAAACCGCUUUCGCCUGUGACGAAGCGUGAGUGACGGUAAUGGGUAAAGAAGCACCGGCUAACUACGUG
rnacentral:rRNA from 1 species